rnacentral:rRNA from 1 species
ACGGAAGGCAGCAGUGAGGAAUAUUGGUCAAUGGGCGGAAGCCUGAACCAGCCAUGUCGCGUGCAGGACUACGGCCCUACGGGUCUUAAACUGCUUUUGAUUGGGGAUAAAGUGGGGGACGCGUCCCCUAUUGCAGGUACCAAUCGAAUAAGGAUCGGCUAACUCCGUGCCAGCAGCCGCGGUAAUACGGAGGAUCCGAGCGUUAUCCGGAUUUAUUGGGUUUAAAGGGUGCGUAGGCGGGCUGUUAAGUCAGCGGUGAAACCCCCGGGCUCAACCCGGGGACUGCCAUUGAAACUGGCGGCCUAGAGUACGUUGGGAGUGCGCGGAAUGUGUGGUGUAGCGGUGAAAUGCAUAGAUAUCACACAGAACACCGAUCGCGAAGGCAGCGCACUACGCCGCAACUGACGCUGAGGCACUCGGCUCCUCGUGUU